rnacentral:rRNA from 1 species
GUGCGCAACACGUAUGCAACCUGCCUUUCGGCGCGGGACAACGUCUGGAAACGGGCGCUAAUACCGCAUAACACCGUUUGCUCGCAUGGGCAGGCGGUCAAAGGAGCAAUUCGCCGAAAGAUGGGCAUGCGUCUGAUUAGUUAGUUGGCAGGGUAACGGCCUACCAAGACGAUGAUCAGUAGCUGGUCUGAGAGGAUGAUCAGCCACACUGGCACUGAGACACGGGCCAGACUCCUACGGGAGGCAGCAGUAAGGAAUAUUGGGCAAUGGGCGAAAGCCUGACCCAGCCAUGCCGCGUGAGGGAAGACGGUUCUAGGAUUGUAAACCUCUUUUCUCCGGGACUAAGGCCCCAGUCGCUGGGGUUUGCAGGUACCGGAGGAAUAAGCGCCGGCAAACUACGUGCCAGCAGCCGCGGUAAUACGUAGGGCGCAAGCGUUGUCCGGAUUUACUGGGUUUAAAGGGUGCGUAGGCGGACUUUUAAGUCGGUGAUGAAAUGCUCGGGCUCAACUCGCAGCGCUGUUACCGAUACUGAAAGUCUUGAGACUGCGCGAGGCGGCUGGAAUGAAUGGUGUAGCGGUGAAAUGCGUAGAGAUCAUUCAGAACACCGAUUGCGAAGGCAGGUCGCCAGAGCAGGUCUGACGCUGAGGCACGAAAGCGCGGGGAGCGAACAGGAUUAGAUACCCUGGUAGUCCGCGCCGUAAACGAUGGAUACUCGACGUCCGUUCUUCGGAGGGGGCGUCCAAGCAAACGCGAUAAGUAUCCCACCUGGGGAGUACGCUCGCAAGAGUGAAACUUAAAGGAAUUGACGGGGGCCCGCACUAGCGGUGGAGCAUGUGGUUUAAUUCGAUGAUACGCGAGGAACCUUACCUGGGCUUGAAUGAGCGCGACCGCCUCCGAAAAGAGGCUUUCAUUCGGGACGCAAAGCAAGGCGAGGCAUGGUUGUCGUCAGCUCGUGCCGUGAGGUGUUGGGUUAAGUCUCGCAACGAGCGCAACCCCUAUUGUUAGUUGCCAGCGAGUAAUGUCGGGGACUCUAACAAGACCGCCCUCGUAAGGGGUGAGGAAGGCGGGGACGACGUCAAAUCAUCAUGGC